GCGUCCCAUUAGAUAGAUGGCGGGGUAACGGCCCACCAUGUCAACGAUGGGUAGCCGAGCUGAGAGGCUGAUCGGCCACACUGGAACUGAGACACGGUCCAGACUCCUACGGGAGGCAGCAGUGGGGAAUAUUGGGCAAUGGGCGCAAGCCUGACCCAGCAACGCCGCGUGAGGGAAGAAGGCUUUCGGGUUGUAAACCUCUGUCCUUGGUGACGAAAAAAAUGACGGUAGCCAAGGAGGAAGCCCCGGCUAACUACGUGCCAGCAGCCGCGGUAAUACGUAGGGGGCGAGCGUUGUCCGGAAUUACUGGGCGUAAAGGGUGCGUAGGUGGCCUUUUAAGUUGGAUGUGAAAUACCCGGGCUUAACUUGGGGGGUGCAUCCAAAACUGGGAGGCUAGAGUGCAGGAGAGGAAAGCGGAAUUCCUAGUGUAGCGGUGAAAUGCGUAGAUAUUAGGAGGAACACCAGUGGCGAAGGCGGCUUUCUGGACUGUAACUGACACUGAGGCACGAAAGCGUGGGGAGCAAACAGGAUUAGAUACCCUGGUAGUCCACGCGGUAAACGAUGAAUACUAGGUGUAGGGGGUAUCAACUCCCCCUGUGCCGGAGCUAACGCAAUAA
rnacentral:rRNA from 1 species